GGGUCUCUAACUCAAUAGGUCAGAGUAGCACACUCAUAAUGUGAAGGUUCCCGGAUCAUGCCCGGGGAGGCCCA
rnacentral:tRNA from 2 species